rnacentral:misc_RNA from 1 species
AACGCACAUUGCGCCCGCCAGUAUUCUGGCGGGCAUGCCUGUUCGAGCGUCAUUUCAACCCUCAAGACCCCUUCGGGGGACUUGGUGUUGGGGACCGGCACAGGGGCCUGCCUGCUUGUCUUGCAGCGCCCUCGCCGCCCCCGAAAUGAAUUGGCGGCCUCGUCGCGGCCUCCCCUGCGUAGUAGCACAACCUCGCAACGGGAACGUGACGGCGGCCACUGCCGUAAAACAACCCAAACUUUAUUAGAGUUGACCUCGAAUCAGGUAGGAAUACCCGCUGAACUUAA